rnacentral:rRNA from 1 species
AUUGAACGCUGGCGGCAUGCCUUACACAUGCAAGUCGAACGGCAGCAUGGAAGAGCUUGCUCUUCUGAUGGCGAGUGGCGAACGGGUGAGUAAAGCAUCGGAACGUACCGUGUAGUGGGGGAUAACGUAGCGAAAGUUACGCUAAUACCGCAUACGCACUGAGGUGGAAAGCAGGGGAUCGCAAGACCUUGCGCUAUACGAGCGGCCGAUGUCAGAUUAGCUAGUUGGUAGGGUAAAGGCCUACCAAGGCGACGAUCUGUAGCGGGUCUGGGAGGAUGAGCCGCCAAACUGGGACUGAGACACGGCCCAGACUCCUACGGGAGGCAGCAGUGGGGAAUUUUGGCCAAUGGGCGAAAGCCUGAUUCAGCCAUGCCGCGUGAGUGAAGAAGGCCUUCGGGUUGUAAAGCUCUUUCGGCUGGGAAGAAAUCGCACAGGCUAAUACUCUGUGUGGAUGACGGUACCAGCACAAGAAGCACCGGCUAACUACGUGCCAGCCGCCGCCGUAA